rnacentral:rRNA from 1 species
CCUACGGGGGGCAGCAGUGGGGAAUAUUGCACAAUGGGGGAAACCCUGAUGCAGCAACGCCGCGUGAGUGAAGAAGUAUUUCGGUAUGUAAAGCUCUAUCAGCAGGGAAGAAGAUGACGGUACCUGAUUAAGAAUCCCCGGCUAACUACGUGCCAGCAGCCGCGGUAAUACGUAGGGGGCAAGCGUUAUCCGGAUUUACUGGGUGUAAAGGGAGCGCAGACGGCAGUGCAAGUCUGGAGUGAAAGCCCGGGGCUCAACCCCGGAACUGCUCCGGAAACUGUGCGGCUAGAGUACUGGAGGGGCAGGCGGAAUGUAUAGUGUAGCGGGGAAAGGCGUAGAGAGCAGGAGGAACA